UGUCCGAAUGGGGAAACCCAGCACGAGUGAUGUCGUGUUACCUGCACCUGAAUAUAUAGGGUGUGUGGAGGGAACGUGGGGAAGUGAAACAUCUCAGUACCCAUAGGAAGAGAAAACAAAAGUGAUUCCGAGAGUAGUGGCGAGCGAAAUCGGAUCAGGCUAAACCCUAUGCGUGUGAUACCCGGCAGGGGUUGCGUAUGGAGGGUUGUGGGGUUUGCAUUGUCGAUUCUGCCGGAUCGGCCGACAGUGAGAAAUUGUGGUGUUAGUCGAAGUGGUCUGGAACGGCCUGUCGUAGAGGGUG
rnacentral:rRNA from 1 species